rnacentral:tRNA from 1 species
AUCUAUAGUUUAUAGAAAAUAUAUAAUUUGCAAUUAUAAGAAACCAUUAGAAAUA